rnacentral:misc_RNA from 1 species
GCGUCAUUACAACCCUCAAGCUCUGCUUGGUAUUAGGCCUUACCUGCUACAGGCAGGCCGUAAAAUCAGUGGCGGUGCAUUCGGCUUCAAGCGUAGUAAUUCUUCUCGCUUAGGAGUACCGGUUGCGUGCCUGCUAUAAAACCCCAAUUUUAUCAUCAAAGGUUGACCUCGGAUCAGGUAGGGAUACCCGCUGAACUUAG